rnacentral:rRNA from 1 species
UAAAGAUCCGUCGGAUGAGGAUAGGCUCGCGUGACAUUAGCUUGACGGCGGGGUAACGGCCCACCGUGGCGACGAUGUCUAGGGGUUCUGAGAGGAAGGUCCCCCACACUGGAACUGAGACACGGUCCAGACUCCUACGGGAGGCAGCAGUGAGGAAUAUUGGUCAAUGGCCGGAAGGCUGAACCAGCCAUGCCGCGUGAAGGUCAGUGCCCUAUGGGCGUUAAACUUCUUUUGUGCGGGAGCAAUAAGGUCCACGUGUGGACCGACGAGAGUACCGUACGAAUAAGCAUCGGCUAACUCCGUGCCAGCAGCCGCGGUAAUACGGGGGAUGCAAGCGUUAUCCGGAUUUAUUGGGUUUAAAGGGUGCGUAGGCUGUGAGGUAAGUCAGCGGUGAAAUGCCCCCGCUCAACGGGGUGAAGUGCCAUUGAUACUGCCUUGCUGGAAUGCGGAUGCCGCGGGAGGAAUGUGUGGUGUAGCGGUGAAAUGCAUAGAUAUCACACAGAACACCGAUUGCGAAGGCAUCUCACGAAUCCGCUAUUGACGCUGAUGCACGAAAGCGUGGGUAUCAAACAGGAUUAGAUACCCUGGUAGUCCACGCUGUAAACGAUGAUGACUAACCGUCGGCGAUACACAGUCG